CCGUUGUGAUAUUUAUAUCUUAUGAUGCAAACUGGUGUUUGGAUGGAUUUGAUUUUAAUACUGAUAACUGAUUAUUUAUAUUUAUCCGUUUAUUUAUCUUUUGAUUUGAGUUUUUUAUUAACGAUGUGAUAACUUCCUGAAGCUGAUGUUUGGAUGUAGUAGAGGUUUUUACCAUAUAAUUUCUAUUUGAAAUUUACAACUUGUUUUGUUGGAUGAUAUAGUUCAUAUGGCAGUAACUUGACUUUUUAAUAAAUCACAAAGUUCUAUUUAUGCAGAUAUGUGUUGUCUGUAUUAGUAUUGGAUAUACUAUUAUGUUAUAGUGUUUUUGUAGCAGAAAAUUAAAGUAUUGGUGUGAGAAAUUGAUGUUAAGGUGUUAUUUUUUUUUUAUGUUUUUUUCUUUAGUGGCGAAUUGUGUUAUUGUAUAUAUUGAUUUCAGUUAGACACGAAGGAAUCAGUGGUUUUUGAAGUUUUAUUAUACUUAUAUGAUAUCGGAGAGAUAGUGUAUGUGCUUUACUUAGAUGUCUUGUCUGAUAUACCUUAUUUAUUGGCGGUCUUGUUUUAUAAGUAUCUUUUCAACUACUUAGAUAUUCAUUGAAGUAAACUAACAUAUUUAUUAUAUAUUUGUUGGCCUAUAUAAAUAAAUUGCUUCGCUGAGCACAGCUGUCCUACAGAGGUCCAACAAAGAACAGUUUUGGGGUUAGUUAGGAAUUAUAUUUGUGCUUGAUACAGUUUUGGAUUUGGAUUCUUAUUAAAUAUUUGACAGAAAUUAGGCUCUGAACACAAUAUAACUAGUUGGAGGACUUAGUAUUGUUAAUAUGAUCUGUAUUUAUAUAUUUUUUGUUUUUGUGCUAAACACUCUUGUCUCCUUUCUUAUUGACAAAUACUUCUAAACCUGACAUUUUAAUAUAUGAUUUACAAGCAGUGUUAGGAUGAUUUAUCUGAAUAUACCCAACAUUGGAUUUAAAUGUUAUUUGAAUUACC
rnacentral:lncRNA from 1 species